AUUGAACGCUGGCGGCAGGCCUAACACAUGCAAGUCGAACGGUAACAGGAAGCAGCUUGCUGCUUCGCUGACGAGUGGCGGACGGGUGAGUAAUGUCUGGGAAGCUGCCUGAUGGAGGGGGAUAACUACUGGAAACGGUAGCUAAUACCGCAUAAUGUCGCAAGACCAAAGAGGGGGACCUUCGGGCCUCUUGCCAUCGGCUGUGCCCAGAUGGGAUUAGCUUGUUGGUGGGGUAACGGCUCACCAAGGCGACGAUCCCUAGCUGGUCUGAGAGGAUGACCAGCCACACUGGAACUGAGACACGGUCCAGACUCCUACGGGAGGCAGCAGUGGGGAAUAUUGCACAAUGGGCGCAAGCCUGAUGCAGCCAUGCCGCGUGUAUGAAGAAGGCCUUCGGGUUGUAAAGUACUUUCAGCGGGGAGGAAGGGAGUAAAGUUAAUACCUUUGCUCAUUGACGUUACCCGCAGAAGAAGCACCGGCUAACUCCGUG
rnacentral:rRNA from 1 species